UUGAUAUUGUGUAGAAACGUUCCUUUAAUUUUUAGAUUUAUUUGAAUAUUAAUUUUAGUGGGAAGUGUAACUUAAUACAGUUGAACUAAAAAUUGUUGAACAAAAAAUGUUCUCGACCAUCUGUACUUAAUGUUUGUGAAGAAAAAUGUGAUCUGGCAAGGUCUGUAUACUUUUUUACAAUUUUUAAAUUGGGUCUUCUUAAGCAAUUGUGUUUCCAUUUUGAGAGUUUUGUGCUGCCUUCUCAAUUUAGAAAAAUCUACUUCUGAACCCUUCUUUUUGCUCAUAUACAAAAUACCCUUUUCUCUAGUUUGCCCCUUCAUGUAAAUAAAGUUGACUGAUUAUCUAUCUAGCAUGCAAAAUCAAAUGAUAUUUACUUGAUUCUCUACUUAGAGGGGUCCCUCACUCCUCCCCACACGCCUUCCUUCCUUCUUAGGAGCAAGUCAGAUGAAAUAAAGGAUGGGAACUGCAGUACAAUAAAUUUUUGUUUCAAUAGAUAUUGGUAAACCCUGGUAAAGUUAGGACAAAUUUAUUUAUUUAUUUUGGUUGUGCUGAAGAAAUGUCAUAAAAUCCACGAUGUAGUAAAUUUUCUGAAGUGGGAAAGAAAUUCGUGUCUG
rnacentral:misc_RNA from 1 species